GGUUGUAGCUCAGUGAUAGAGUGCUUGCCUAGCAUGUGUGAGGCACUGGGUUCAAUCCUCAGCACCA
rnacentral:tRNA from 1 species